AAACCAACAGGGAUUGCCCCAGUAACGGCGAGUGAAGCGGCAAGAGCUCAAAUUUGAAAUCUGGCCUCCCCCGGGGGUCCGAGUUGUAAUUUGCAGAGGAUGCUUCGGGCGCGGCCCCCGUCUAAGUUCCUUGGAACAGGACGUCAGAGAGGGUGAGAAUCCCGUCUUGGGCGGGCGGCCCGCGCCCGUGUGAAGCUCCUUCGACGAGUCGAGUUGUUUGGGAAUGCAGCUCUAAGCGGGUGGUAAAUUUCAUCUAAAGCUAAAUACCGGCCGGAGACCGAUAGCGCACAAGUAGAGUGAUCGAAAGGUUAAAAGCACCUUGAAAAGGGAGUUAAACAGCACGUGAAAUUGUUGAAAGGGAAGCGCUUGCGGCCAGACUCGGGGGGCGGGGUUCAGCGGGCGCUCGUCGCCCGUGCACUGCCCGCUCCCCGGGCCAGCAUCAGCUUCGACGGCCGGUCAAAGGCCCCCGGAAUGUGUCGUCUCUAGGGACGUCUUAUAGCCGGGGGUGCAAUGCGGC
rnacentral:rRNA from 1 species